rnacentral:rRNA from 1 species
UACGAAGGGGGCUAGCGUUGUUCGGAAUCACUGGGCGUAAAGGGCGCGUAGGCGGCUUUAUAAGUCGGGGGUGAAAGCCUGUGGCUCAACCACAGAAUUGCCUUCGAUGCUGUAGAGCUUGAGACCGGAAGAGGUAAGUGGAACUGCGAGUGUAGAGGUGAAAUUCGUAGAUAUUCGCAAGAACACCAGUGGCGAAGGCGGCUUACUGGUCCGGUUCUGACGCUGAGGCGCGAAAGCGUGGGGAGCAAACAGG